rnacentral:rRNA from 1 species
UGGGGAAUUUUGGACAAUGGGGGCAACCCUGAUCCAGCAAUGCCGCGUGUGUGAAGAAGGCCUUCGGGUUGUAAAGCACUUUUGUCCGGAAAGAAAUCGCCCUGGCUAAUAUCCGGGGUGGAUGACGGUACUGGAAGAAUAAGCACCGGCUAACUACGUGUCAGCAGCCGCGGUAAUACGUAGGGUGCGAGCGUUAAUCGGAAUUACUGGGCGUAAAGCGUGCGCAGGCGGUUGUGCAAGACAGAUGUGAAAUCCCCCGGGCUUAAACUUGGGAAUGGCAUUUGUGACUGCACGGCUAGAGUGUGUCAGAGGGGGGUAGAAUUCCACGUGUAGCAGUGAAAGUGCGUAGAUAUGUGGAGGAACACCGAUGGCGAAGGCAGCCCCCUGGGAUAACACUGACGCUCAUGCACGAAAGCGUGGGGAGCAAACAGGAUUAGAUACCCUGGUAGUCCACGCCCUAAACGAUGUCAACUAGUUGUCGGGUCUUAAUUGACUUGGUAA